UGCUUAAACAAGUGUUUGCCGAUGCUGUCAGAAAAUUCUUUUCUCUUUGAAUUAAGUUUAUUUUUCGGAUUUUUUUCAGUAAACAAGACUUAUUUCUCUUCUCCAGUAAAUGUAUCUUGAUUUAAGAAUGUUCAGAUAUUUGUGCUGGAAAACAAGACAAACUCAGUUUUUGCAGUGAAGUUGUACGCGUAUUUCUGGGUGUCGGGUCCUUCCGUGUUCAUCAGCAGUGGAGGACCGUUCUGCGUCCAGGCGUCUGUGCGUCUCUCCAAAGCCUUCUCACCUGCCUUCGAGCGGCUGGAGUUUGGAUCUCAAGAUUAAUCCACGUGGACCGAGUCUCGCUGGAAGAGCAUCCGAGCGCGCGUCUUCCUGGUGGCCAGCCGAGAACUCGAGAUGUUAACACUGGGGGUGGGCGUGGCUGUGCUGCUGCUGUCUCCAUUGGUGACGUACUUCAUCAGCUCGAAGGCGGAGCUUUUGUUUAGCUCAUUAUACUCAAUAUAAAGAAUGUCUUGCUUUACUAUAUAAAAAAACAAAACGUCUGU